rnacentral:misc_RNA from 1 species
GAUGAAGAACGCAGCGAAAUGCGAUACUUGGUGUGAAUUGCAGAAUCCCGUGAACCAUCGAGUCUUUGAACGCAAGUUGCGCCCGAAGCCAUUAGGCCGAGGGCACGCCUGCCUGGGCGUCACACGUCGUUGCCCCCCCAUCUACUCCUUCGGGAUUGCGGGGGGCGGAUGAUGGCUUCCCGUGCGCCUCGUCGCGCGGUUGGCAUAAAUACCAAGUCCUCGGCGACGCACGCCACGACAAUCGGUGGUUGCGAAACCUCGGUUGCCCGUCGUGUGCGGUCGUCGCGCAUCGAGGGCUCGAAAAAAUUGCCGGGCUCCGGCUCGGCUUUCAACGCGACCCCAGGUCAGGCGGGGUUACCCGCUGAAUUUAAGCAUAUCAAAAGCGGAGGA